rnacentral:lncRNA from 1 species
CUUCUACCAUUUCAUGCUUAUAAGAACAGUUCUCCCUAGGAAGUAUUAUUGUACUGUUAUACAACUUGGAAACAGAAAAAGACACAAGACUACAUAUUAAAUGUUUUAUAUCUGUUUUAAAUCAGCACUUUAUUUCAUUCUUCAUUAAAAAAAAAAUGUCUAAGAAAAGUAAUUAAUAUAAGCACUUAAAAGUGAAUACAGGUCUGAAAAUCAAUGUAUAAUUUGACCAGAUGUUAAUAUAUUCUUAGACAAAAGAAACAUUGCAGGUUUUUUUAUAUUCAGUGUAGUAUAAAAAUAAAACCAACAAUAACCAUCACAUGCACACAUUCUUCAGAUAGUUGAAUAAACCUUACAAAUACAUGUAUAAGAAUCAUGAUGUGAUGCAUUUUGUUCCACAAGAGAGAGUGCAAAACAAAUAUCCGUACAUGGUAAACUGGAGGUCUAUUAUUUGUAAAACAAACAAAAAUACUAGUAUACAAAUCAGAAUGUUAAUAAUGCAUAAUUCAUUCACAAUGUGCCAUCCAUAGUGUGCACCAUGUUUAAACCCAUCCCUGUUCUUCUCCAACAGUGGGGUUGACUGUUGGACUUCAAGUGUGAUUAUCAAGUUACACAAAUGGAUUUCUAAACAUUGAAAGCUCUAAAUAACAUUUGCACCCUUGAAACAGUCACUAUGCCUCUCCCUAACUGUUAGUGUGGAGUUUUUUUCAUGAUAUGGCACUCCAAAGUCCAUCAGUUGAACAUUUUAUUAUCCAAGUAUUCAACUUUUCAUGCAUUUGGAAUUGUGGACAUCAUUUUAAAUGGUUCUAAGUUCUAACCAAUGUUAGAUACAAUAAUUUGUACAAUUCUGUUUGUGUAUUUUCCUCCAUGCAACUUUUGUUUUGUCUAUGAGUACAUAUAUAUUCAAACUGUUCAAACAGAAAUUAUCACUGAAAAAGGAUCACUCAUCAGAAUCUAAUAACUUUGAGCUUUCAAGUGAAUGUAAAAUCACAUGUACGGACAAUAAACUUUAAACAUGGUUAUCACAUAAAAUUCUUGCUAGAAAUAAUGUAUUAUUAGCCAUUUAUGAUAAUUGAUCUUAUCACAAAUUUAUAUAUGCAAACUAGGCAAACAUCUUCCCCUUAAACUGACCUCAUCAAGUGCAGAUCCAGGGUUUAAAAGGGGGAGGGGGCUUAAUAGCCCAUGUUUGGAAAAAAUUAUCAUAUAUGUAGUUCAAUACAGGAAGGAACAGACCACCUGUCUCUCCCUCCUUAAAAUGCAUCAAUACGGGGGAAGGAACAGACCCCCCGUCUCUCCCUCCUUAAUAUGGAAGGAACAGACCCCCCGUCUCUCCCUCCUUAAUA